ensembl:misc_RNA
GGAUGUGACUGCCUCGUGGCUUGCCCGAUUUGCACGGUGACUUGAUUACACGCUCGCAUUCAUGGUCACUUCCGAAGCGCUUUAGUGCCUUCCGUCCCUAAACCGCCAACAACCAGGGCGGCUUCCCCCGCGGUUUGUCAGGGAUCCGCAGGUCCCGGAAGGGCCUUCGUCUCACCCGGGAUCCAC